rnacentral:lncRNA from 1 species
CAGGCCCCAUCUAAUUCCCACAAGGAAAGCUGCGGCAAUUCUCCCUUUCUUUUCUCUAGUUAACUCAGCUAAUCUAUGAGUAAGCUUCUACCAUUUAGCUCCUGUUGUUGUUCCACAUUCCCAUCAAUCAAUCAAUAGGUGACUCUACCUAUCUGUUGAGAUGUAUGAAACAUUUCACAAUUCCAUAUUAAGGCAUAAAUACAGAGGUUCACGACUUGUCAGAGUGAGCCCGGACACAGGUGGAGUGGUUGCACAAGUGAUACUUACCUUUGUCUUCUCUAUGGAUGAUAAGAUGGUGCUUCGGUCAACAAUCAACAGAGUUUUGCAGCAGAGACUGAAGACAUAUCCUGGUUCUGCACGUAUCGACCUCUCCUCUUCCUCUCUCACAGGCAAGUGCCUUGAGUCUUUAUCACUGACUGGGGUUUGACUCCUGGGGCUUGACCUUUUUUGCCUUGGAGAACUAUUCCCAUUCAGCCCUGCAAGCUUUGUUGGAAG